GAUGAACGCUGGCGGCGUGCCUAAUACAUGCAAGUCGAGCGAACGGACGAGAAGCUUGCUUCUCUGAUGUUAGCGGCGGACGGGUGAGUAACACGUGGAUAACCUACCUAUAAGACUGGGAUAACUUCGGGAAACCGUAGCUAAUACCGGAUAAUAUUUUGAACCGCAUGGUUCAAAAGUGAAAGACGGUCUUGCUGUCACUUAUAGAUGGAUCCGCGCUGCAUUAGCUAGUUGGUAAGGUAACGGCUUACCAAGGCAACGAUGCAUAGCCGACCUGAGAGGGUGCUCGGCCAAAACGGAACUGAGAAACGGUCCCGAACCCUACGGGAGGCAGCAGUAGGGAAUCUUCCGCAAUGGGCGAAAGCCUGACGGAGCCACGCCGCGUGAGUGAUGAAGGUCUUCGGAUCGUAAAACUCUGUUAUUAGGGAAGAAAAUAUGUGUAAGUAACUGUGCACAUCUUGACGGUACCUAAACAGAAAGCCACGGCUAACUACGGGC
rnacentral:rRNA from 1 species